UCUUCGGAUCUUCUAGAGUGAACUGUGAGAGAGUGAACAUCGAGAAAACGCAUUCCGCGUCUAAAGUCUUUUCUUUAUUCAUUUAGUUUUCCGGAAGUGUUUUAAUAGCAACGGAGGACGGUCGUAGACCGCCCGUUGAUCGCGAAGUUCGUACCAGUUACUAAGAAGUAUUAGUGAGGUGAAAAUAGCGCAUAUUUUCGCAAAAGUGUCGGCCCUCAACCACGUGCUAAAAGCAGUAUCCAUCACGACGAGUCCUGUACCGACGAGAGCAGUCGGAGGAGACCCGCCCUAACCUCAUAGCUCUACCGACACAUCGAGCUGCGACUAACGGGAGAGGAUCUACGGUCUAAUCCGUGCACUAAGCAUAAAUUGUUGAAAUUCGCUGAAAAUGAACCAAAAUGUCCUACCUUGGUCAGCAUCAUCCAUUCCUCUAGUUGGAGUAUAAUAAAAUGGCAUUAAAUAACCAGAAAAUCGUCAGGCGAUAUGCCAAGUACUUUCCAAAACAGUUAAGUGCUAAUCGGAGAC